CAGACGAUGCGUCAUGCAUAUCAAUAAGCGGAGGAAAAGAAACUAACAAGGAUUCCCCUAGUAACGGCGAGUGAAGCGGGAAGAGCUCAAAUUUGAAAUCUUAAAGGGUUUCCCUUUACGAAUUGUAGUUUAAAGAAGUGUUUUCUGUUGAGGUUUUGGUAAAAGUUCUUUGGAAUAGGACAUCAUAGAGGGUGAGAAUCCCGUAUUUGACCUUUACUUUCAACUUUGUGAUACACUUUCAAAGAGUCGGAUUGUUUGGGAAUGCAGUCCAAAAUGGGUGGUAAAUUUCAUCUAAAGCUAAAUAUUGGCGAGAGACCGAUAGCGAACAAGUACCGUGAGGGAAAGAUGAAAAGAACUUUGAAAAGAGAGUUAAACAGUACGUGAAAUUGUCAAAAGGGAAGCGUUUGACACCAGUGUUGUUUUUCUGAAAAUCAAUUAAAGAACUGUUUAUGCUAAGCUGUUUAGACUUUAUCAGCUAAUCUGUUUAGUUUUGAGCUUUUCUUUAAUGCACUUUUCAGUUAACAAGUCAACAUCAAUUUCUUUUGCUGUAAAAAAGCUUGAGGAAGGUGGCUUGAGAUUCGUCUUAAGUGUUUAUAGCCUCUUGCCUAUGCAGUCGGAGAGAUUGAGGUCUGCAGCGUAGAUCCUUCGGGGCUAAAUGCAUUUGUGCUAAGUUAUAGCAUUUCAUAGACAACUUGUUGACUAUGAUUUGUCUUGUAGCUUACUCGCUUAUGUUAUUUUACCUACGCUUAGGAUGUUGAAUCUGUGCGAGACUAC
rnacentral:rRNA from 1 species